rnacentral:rRNA from 1 species
CAGCCGCCGCGGGAAUACGGAGGGGGCUAGCGUUGUUCGGAAUUACUGGGCGUAAAGCGCACGUAGGCGGCUUGGUAAGUUAGAGGUGAAAGCCUGGAGCUCAACUCCAGAAUUGCCUUUAAGACUGCCGAGCUAGCAGGUGAGAGAGGUAAGUGGAAUUCCGAGUGUGGAGGUGAAAUUCGUAGAUAUUCGGAAGAACACCAGUGGCGAAGGCGGCUUACUGGCUCAUACUGGACGCUGAGGUGCGAAAGCGAGGGGAGCAAACAGGAUUAGAUACCCCAGUAGUCCCUGUCUCUUAUAC